UACGUAGGGUGCGAGCGUUGUCCGGAUUUAUUGGGCGUAAAGAGCUCGUAGGCGGUUUGUCGCGUCUGCUGUGAAAACCUAAGGCUCAACCUUGGGCUUGCAGUGGGUACGGGCAGACUAGAGUGCGGUAGGGGUGACUGGAAUUCCUGGUGUAGCGGUGGAAUGCGCAGAUAUCAGGAAGAACACCCGUGGCGAAGGCGGUUCUCUGGGACGGUACUGACGCUGAGACGCGAAAGCGUGGGGAGCGAACAGG
rnacentral:rRNA from 1 species